rnacentral:rRNA from 1 species
UACGAAGGUGGCAAGCGUUGUUCGGAUUUACUGGGCGUAAAGGGAGCGUAGGUGGUGGGGUAAGCCCCGCGGGAAAGCUCCAGGCUUAACCUGGAAAGGUCGCGGGGGACUGCUCCGCUCGAGGACGGGAGAGGAGCGCGGAAUUCCCGGUGUAGCGGUGAAAUGCGUAGAGAUCGGGAGGAAGGCCGGUGGCGAAGGCGGCGCUCUGGAACGGCCCUGACACUGAGGCUCGAAGCGUGGGGAGCAAACAGG